rnacentral:rRNA from 1 species
GUAAUGACGGUACCUGAGUAGAAAGCCACGGCUAACUACGUGCCAGCAGCCGCGGUAAUACGUAGGUGGCAAGCGUUGUCCGGAAUUAUUGGGCGUAAAGCGCGCGCAGGUGGGAUAAUAAGUCUGGUGUGAAAGUUCGGGGCUCAACCCCGUGAAGCAUUUGGAAACUGUUAUUCUUGAGUGCAGGAGAGGAAAGUGGAAUUCCUAGUGUAGCGGUGAAAUGCGUAGAUAUUAGGAGGAACACCAGUGGCGAAGGCGACUUUCUGGACUGUGUCUGACACUGAGGCGCGAAAGCCAGGGUAGUGAACGGGAUUAGAUACCCCGGUAAUCCUGGCCGUAAACGAUGGGUACUAGGUGUUGGGGGUAUCGACCCCUCCAGUGCCGGAGUUAACGCAAUAAGUACCCCGCCUGGGGGAGUA